CUGAUCGCAAUGGUGCACUGCUUGAUCUUAUUCAAUUCUUUAUUCACGCGUCGGGGUGCAAAGGAACGGUUACUCCAAAAAUGAUGCAAGAAGUUUCUGAAGGUUUUCAGGAUGUGAUAAAACAAAUGACUGAACAGUUUGAUGAGGACAGUGGAGAUUACCCUCUUAUUGCCACUGGUGCCCACCAUCGAAAGUUUCGCUCAAGUUUUUGUGAUUUUGUUCAGGUGAUUGCAGGAUUGUAAAAGUUGUAAAUACGGACGGUGAUCGUUUAAUUUUAUUGAAAAUCCGGACGUAAUAUGUUUUACGUGCAUCUGUCACCCAAGCUACCAAAUCUUGUUAUAAAGCGUAUUACUGACUAUCACCACGACACCACAGUCUAGUGCCGGCGCCUGUGCGAUAGAAACCGUUGUUAAAGCUGCGGUCUAAUGUUUUAUGUUCGUCGCGUGUUCGUAAUAAUCAGUAGGGAUGCACCGGGUCGAAUCCGGGUCCAAUUACCCGGUCGAGUAUCGUCGUUUUCGUGGUAUUCGGACCCGGCUGGGUAUCGCAAUUACUCUGUCCGGGUAAUUUCAUUAAUAUUUUAGUUGUUCGUCAUUUAAUAACCUGGAAAAAAUGGUUUGUACGGCGGGUAUUCAAACGUUUUCAUGGCCCGUUAAUCCAUGUUCUUGCGCAACAAAGUCCGACGUAACAUUUCGUACUAUGACGUAACAAACAUACCUUCAUUCGAGUUGCGCAAUACUGUGCGUAAAAAUAAACUAAACGCAUUUAUGUAUACUAUA